rnacentral:tRNA from 1 species
GGGGUUUUGGCUCAACGGUAGAGCGCUCGCCUAGCAUGCGAGGCCCUGGGUUCGAAUCUCAACACCACA